rnacentral:lncRNA from 1 species
UAUAUUUAUAUAUUUAUAUAUUUCAAUGGCAUGGGUCUGGAGAAAGAGUAAUUUCUAAAGAUAUUAUUAAAACUGUAUCCAUAUCUUAUAGGUCGGCUUAUUUUAUUUUUAUUAUCUACCCCACCUGCUAGUUAUUCUGGUACUACUUCCAGUUAACUCAAGGUUCUAUAAUUUCCAGCAGAAAUCGGAUUCUUCUGAUUGCUGAGCACCUGUCCCUGGCUUGGGGUGACCUCAGGGUCAAGGAGGAGGCUCAGCAACUUCAAGGCUCCUGGUGGCUUCCCCGCAGGCUGCGACUCCGUUUUGCUCUUCUGGUUCCAAGGAGACAGCAAUUCAGAUGCUUCCCGAAACACCUUCCUGUCAUGGUGAGUGUGGCCACGGGACUGAUGGGUAACGCAUGGGCACUUCAGAACGUUUGUGAGGUGAUGGGCAUUAUAGCGCCGCUGGGUAAGCUGCUGCUUGUGACGCCAGCAUCCACACUGGAGCAACCAUUCCAGUCUGGGCUACUCUACUUCUGAUCUAGCUCCCUGUUA